ACAUCGAUCAGCUGCCUUCUGUGCACCCCUCCUCCCCACUGGGGAUGUGCCCGCAACCAAGGUACAUGCCCUUGACUGGAUUCGAACCUGGGACCCUUCAGUCCACAGGCCGACGCUCUAUCCACUGAGCCACACCAGUUAGGGCCCCUCCUGAUUAUUCUUAUCUGUCCCCCGCACACUGUGUGAUUGGCUCAUUUGUAGCCCCAACCCUUUCGCCUGGCUCCGAUGUUUGUGAGGGCCCUUGUGUUCUCAGAUCCUCCUUCACCUCUGCCUGCGUUAAAAAUCCAUCCCCUUUCUCUUCAAAACCAGCGCUCUAGGACAACAUACAGCAGGGUCCAGGCUCCCUGUAUCUUCUAGAGAGAAUGCUCUGAAAAUUAUUCUUAAGACACAGUUUUGUUUGUUUUUUUAAUUUUUGUUGAUUUGAGAGAAACUUCCAUUUGUUGUUCCACUUGUACAUUCGUUGAAUGAUUCUUGUAUGUGCCCUGACCAGGUGUUCGAACCCACAACCUUGGCAUAUAGAGAUGACACUCUAACCAACUGAGCUUCCUACCUGGUCAGGGCAAGACACUGUUCUUACCUUUCUCCUCAGUGACUGUAGCUCUUGAUGGUAAUAUAAUAUUUAAAAAGUGAUUAGAAUGGAUUAUGUGCUAGUUGCUAACUUAAUCAUGGCAGCAAGCCCAUGAUAUUGGUACUGUUAUUAACCCCAUUUUACAGAUGAGGACACUGAGGCACAGAGAGCGUAAGUAACUUGCCAAAGGUCACAGAAUUAGUAAUUAUGAGGACAUGUAGAAGAAUGUCCAUGGUGGCCCUGUUUGUAAUAGCCCCAAUUGGAAGCCCAUCUGUCCGUCAACAGUAGACGGGAUGAGCACGUGACGAGGAAGGAGCUGGCUUGGCAAAAGGCGGGGGUUAGUGUUCCAAGAAGAGGUGCGCGGAGUGAGGAGGCUUCGAGGCUGGCGGAAGCAGGCAGUCUUUAAGAACGUAAAGGAAGGCUGCAAUCCAGGAGCACAAGGGGGGUGUGUGCAUGUCCGUGUAAGGGGGGGAGCCCAGGCAGGGCCCUGGGUGAGGAUGGGAGUGGGCAGGGUCAGAGCCUGUGGGACGAGCAGGAUAUAGGCAGAGGUGGUAACUCAGGGAGUGUUCCAGGGUGGGAUUUGCCUUCCAUAAUCAUUUACUUCAGUUGGGUGAGCAGGGAGACCAGGGAGGAUGGUCACUGCAGUCCAGGGGGAACAGGACUUUUGGACUAGGGUGGAAAAGGUGUUCAGGAUGAUAGUUUCCAGUGCUCGUAGGAGAUGUCCUAGAACUUGGUGGUCCAUUCAGAUGAAAAGUGACCACAGGUCCUGGCAUGUGCAGACCAGAGGCCACCUGCACCUUUGGGCUCAGUUACCAAGAACUUGCUGCCUGACGUGCACAGAAGCCAAUGCAAUGACAUUGGCUUCUGGUAAAAGAAAAGGCUUUAUUGCAACUCAGCUGGCAGUGAGACAAGGCUCAAAUCUGUCUCCCCGAUUGUGGGUUUGGGUGAAACUUAAGGGGUUAGGGAAGGCUGGCUAGCCUGUGGAAGUGCUGCAGGGCAGGUUUCAACUGAAGGCCUCAGCACUGGAUCCUGGACAGUGGACCGGUGACUAAGUGCCAGUCAAGUCCCAGGUCUUUGGUUUGGUGGUGGUGAUGGUGGUGGAUGGGUAUUACUGAAAGUCAGAAUUCUCUCCUCUGAGCAUACUGGAGUUUUGUCCUGUUGUCCCUGGAAAACAAGUCAGUAUCUUGUUAGAAUUAGGUAAGGCCAGUGGGUAGUUCUGUGUUUGCUAUGGGACAGGACUGUGUUUGAGGUACUCCUGAGGGUGAUUGCGCCUGGCACUCGGUGGAGUAUUAGGAGCUGACACUCCCCAUCGGGAGGGAGUUUGGCCUCAGUGAUAGCACAGCAAUGUAGACCAACACUGCCAAGUACCGUCUACUCCUGUGCAGCGUCCGACGUACAAUCUGCCCUACAGAAAAGC